CCAUGGUUUCAACGGGUAACGGGGAAUUAGGGUUCGAUUCCGGAGAGGGAGCCUGAGAAACGGCUACCACAUCCAAGGAAGGCAGCAGGCGCGCAAAUUACCCAAUCCCGACACGGGGAGGUAGUGACAAUAAAUACUGAUACAGGGCUCUUUUGGGUCUUGUAAUUGGAAUGAGUACAAUUUAAACCUCUUAACGAGGAACAAUUGGAGGGCAAGUCUGGUGCCAGCAGCCGCGGUAAUUCCAGCUCCAAUAGCGUAUAUUAAAGUUGUUGCAGUUAAAA
rnacentral:rRNA from 1 species